rnacentral:rRNA from 1 species
CGAAGGUUGGCUAAUCCUGGUCGGACAUCAGGAGGUUAGUGCAAUGGCAUAAGCCAGCUUGACUGCGAGCGUGACGGCGCGAGCAGGUGCGAAAGCAGGUCAUAGUGAUCCGGUGGUUCUGAAUGGAAGGGCCAUCGCUCAACGGAUAAAAGGUACUCCGGGGAUAACAGGCUGAUACCGCCCAAGAGUUCAUAUCGACGGCGGUGUUUGGCACCUCGAUGUCGGCUCAUCACAUCCUGGGGCUGAAGUAGGUCCCAAGGGUAUGGCUGUUCGCCAUUUAAAGUGGUACGCGAGCUGGGUUUAGAACGUCGUGAGACAGUUCGGUCCCUAUCUGCCGUGGGCGCUGGAGAACUGAGGGGGGCUGCUCCUAGUACGAGAGGACCGGAGUGGACGCAUCACUGGUGUUCGGGUUGUCAUGCCAAUGGCACUGCCCGGUAGCUAAAUGCGGAAGAGAUAAGUGCUGAAAGCAUCUAAGCACGAAACUUGCCCCGAGAUGAGUUCUCCCUGACUCCUUGAGAGUCCUGAAGGAACGUUGAAGACGACGACGUUGAUAGGCCGGGUGUGUAAGCGCAGCGAUGCGUUGAGCUAACCGGUACUAAUGAACCGUGAGG